CAGGUCAGGCGGGGCCACCCGCUGAGUUAAGCAUAUCAAAAAGCGAAGGAGA
rnacentral:rRNA from 1 species